rnacentral:piRNA from 1 species
UGCCAACUCCCUAAUGGCAACCCCGCCUC